AUCAGACGACGAGAGGUGGUGGGGAGGAGGAGGAAGAAGACGAUCUGAUCUUCGAUCCAGCAGACUUCUGCUUCAAUCCUCCAUCGUCUUCCUCCUCGAUCCCAACUUAGAUCUCUCCUCUGCAACAACAUUCACGGAGCCAGCUCCACUGGAGCACUGCUGCUUUUAGUAACAGAAGAAUCAUCGUCACCAGCCAUCGACUUGAUGUGCUAGAGAUCUAAAAAAAAAAAAAUUAGGUUGCAGGAUUGAAUUGCUCUGAUACCAUGUAAAGCAAAACUGAGAUUGAUAAACUAUUGACUUGAUAUUAACGUGAGCAAAGGCUCUUCUUAAAUACAACAUAGCGAUGCCUUGAUACGCAAGCUAUUUGGACUUAUCUCUAAUAUAUUACAUGUAGAUAACACAACUUUGAAGUUAAUCCAUAACGUAGGGAUUAUCUCCCUAAUAUUGGUUUAUAUUCUCUACCUACAACUGUUCAUAGCACAUGCCUUUUGAAUAUGAAGUGAAUCUCUUUUUUGCUGUUGUUAGAGGGAGGAAAUGUAUGUUAUGUCUGCAAAGAAUAAACGUGUUUCGAUACAGCUUUUGGGAGGGGACAAGAUCCAGGAGCUUAACAGUGCUUCUCUUCCUUUUCUUGGUGUUAUCUCUCUUGGAGUUUAAUCUGACUUGGGAUUAGAAGCUGAACAUUUUUUGACAUUGCUUGUUUCAUUUGCUUCCUCUGUUCCAGAUUUGAAGCUGCUGGACUUAACUGGAAACUUGAUUUCUGUCUGGGAGGUACUAUUCUGUGACAUUGCUAUAAAAUAAUGUGAUAGACACCACUAUAUAUGAUCUUCUAUCAAGAUGUUAGUUUAUUGAAGAAUACUAACAAAACUCCUACUACGGUAAUUCGAGAAAACACUCCUCGUUUAUUAAAAGAAACGACAACUCCUUUCUUGAUCUCUAAUGGAUGAUCUUUUAUUGAAAUCAAAUGUCUCCUUUAAAAUAGGAACAAACCUUGGUAAGCAAGUAUUACAUAAAGGAAGUUAUGGAAAUAACGAAACUAACAAUAGGCAAAAGUGAAAAGUAAAUAUUCUAAAAGAUGUUCUUUUACUACAGUUUAUGAUUGAUCAUCUGUUUCUGGCUUUCAGGAAAUGGGUGCUCUUUGACUUUGUGAACAGUUACCACCCUUAACUUGUCUUGCAAUUCUUUGUCAAGUGAAUUUAAUUCUCUGCCGGAGUUAAAACAUAUUCGUGUUUUGGUUGAUUGGUUCUCAAUAAUACUGGUCUGACCUGGACUCAGGUGAUAUAUAUCACUCUUUUAACCUGACCUGUCACUUUCUCCCAUGAGCUGUUUGAGCACCAUUGCCAAUUUUUUUAACUUUUAUGGCUCUUACCAUAAUGGCGCGGGUUGAAAAUCUUAGGAACAAGUGCCUGCAAAUAUGUUCAACAUAUUGGCUACCUUUAGUUGCUCUUUAAUAUCUGAAUACAUAUAUAUAUAUAUAUAUAUAUAUAUAUAUGGAAGACCAAAGGGGAAGGCAAGGAUUAAAGGAGUGCGUGAAUCCCCGAAGAAAAAUCAGACCAAAGUUGAUAGAAAAGGAAGAAUAGGUCAUUGUGGUCUUUGUGGUGGUGAAGGCCACAACUCAAGGAAGUGUCCUCAUGAGGUACAUUGUCGUCGUUGCAAUUGUCUAGCUUUUUUUCUUUCUCGUGAUUGAUUCUCUUUAUUUUUAUUACGUUGCAGUCUGAUGAAAGCAGAAAGCGUAGGCGUCUCAACAUGGAACAACAAUCACAUGAGCAAGCAAUCGAGGACAUUUCCUCAACUGCACCACCUGCUACACAACCUUGACUUCUCUAGAAUGUCUUUUUCUUUUCUCGGAUGUCUUUUUUUCCGCUUUUGAUGUCUUCUUUGGUCUUUGGAUAUGACCUUUCUCUCAGCGGAUAUGUGUGUUUUGGAUGUUAAACUAGUGUUGAUGUCUCUCUUGUUAUGUAAGAUCACCUAUUUUGGAUGUUAAAGCAAUGAGUUCAAACUCUUUUUUUUAUUGCUAACUGAAGUUGAUUUCCAAACAUUGUCAAACCAUUACAUAGUUAAGCAUUACAACAACAACAUUACAAAGGUUUUUAAAGAUAAUGAGCAUGUCUUUAGAGCUUGAGAAAGGCGUUAAUGAUGUCUUCUUCCACUUCCGCAUUUUUGGCCAAUUCACUUUGAAGCAUCGAAAUGGUCUUCUUCAAUCCCAUAAUAGUCUUGUCCUUCUGGCGAAUUUCGUUUCUAGCUUCAAUCAAAGCUUUCUUUUGCCAUCCAAAAGCUUCUCCCUCAUCGAACCAUUGAAAGAACCCGCAUUCACCUCCACUCUAACACAAACAUAAAAUUAAAAACUUCUCAAAGAACUCCAUGACUAUACCAUACAUGAUUCACAAUUAGUUUAUACCUUGAAUUUUUCACACCCAUAGAACCUUCGACCCGGAUUUUUGUCUGUCCAAGCUUGAGAUAUCUUUGCCACCAACCCACAGUAACAAAGAACAUUGCUUUCAUUUGCCUUGCCCUUUCCCUUAUUGCUCCAUCUUCCACCAAAUUCCAUCUCUCUUUCUCUGUUUCUGUCUCUUUCUCUCUUUCUCUGUUUUGAAGAACGAUGAACCCUAAAUUGCUGAUUGAAAUCGAUUUGGGGGAGAGAAUUGGUUAAGUCUGGGUCGGGUUUUUCGUUUAGUUCGGGUCGGAGUUUAACUUUACUUAAUUACGAGCUGACCCCAAUUAUUUUAACUAAAAUCAAUUAAACCUCGUUAUGAUGUUGGCACCAUGUUUUUAUUAACGUCGUAUAUGUGGCAUGUAUUUAUCAUAUACAUCGUGUAGGUUUCGACACAAUUCUAAACUCUAGAUGGUUUGCACCAUAUUAUAGUAUACAUGGUGUAGCUGAGAAACUUUUUUCCUUAAGGAAAAUAAAAAUCAAUCAGACGACGAGAGGUGGUGGGGAGGAGGAGGAAGAAGACGAUCUGAUCUUCGAUCCAGCAGACUUCUGCUUCAAUCCUCCAUCGUCUUCCUCCUCGAUCCCAACUUAGAUCUCUCCUCUGCAACAACAUUCACGGAGCAACUGUCAAAAUCCGUUAGAAAAUGUCGAUCAACAUGAAAACCUUCACCGAAGCUCUGGCGAGAACCGCCGCCGUGAUCGAGAAGACGGUUCACACCACAGUCCAGGAAGUCACGGGCCCGAAGCCUCUCCAGGACUACGAGCUCGUCCAC
rnacentral:lncRNA from 1 species